UCUUCAGUUUACUCCAUACUACUAGACUGAAGAAUAAUGUUUAGCAGUCUUACUCAGCACUGAUUCAGCACUUCUCUCUGAGCAGUCAUCCAUUUCUCAGAAGCACAGAACAGUUAAGACACAGCCUUAAUGUUCUCAGCAUCGAUUCUGGAUGAAGGGGAUGGAGUGGACUCAGAGAAAUGUCUAGUCAUCACUAAAACAAAAGGCAACUGCAGCAACCAAAGAGCAGCACAGUCCAUGGUUCAAGCAGCUGGGACUUCAGGCUAGGUUAGUGGAACUUGCCUAAUUCCUCCGUCUGCCCUUCUUUCCCCUCUGGCAUGGCCACUCCACUGGAAAUUGGUGUUCCUGCACCUGAUGUCCUAUCUGGAAGGACCAACAACUGAUAAAGCAGCGUUCUGGCAGCCAUGGCAUUCCCAGCACAGGUGCCAUUUCCUGUAGGUCCAGUAAGUUUCCCAGGUUUUUCUUCUUGUUCUCUGAAGUGCUGGAGGAAGCCUCUUCCCACACUUGCCCAUUUGAGGUGAUGUUGGAUUUCUUUGUCAAUGGCAACCUUCUGCAAGAGAUGCCUUCCAAGGUAUGAGAAAUAUUCAGUGUUCUCCAAAGUCUCACAAUGAAUCUGAAUUACCAGAGCUGGGGACUGCUCAUUAAGAGUUUGUUGAUAGAGCUUCUGAAUGUUAAGCAUAAGUCUCAUUUUCUUGUAUGCCUCAGUAAAGAUGUUGAUAAUUACCUGAAGGUCUGCUUCUGAGUGAGCACAUGCUACAGCAUCAUCAGCAUACUGGAGAUUGAGGCCAGGGUGGUCUAAAAUGCCGAAUUAUUUUGACUUAUAUUCAACCAUUUGAAAAACUUUAAAUGUAUUACCAUUUCAGUCCGACGCCACAACCUACAACUCCAUUUUGAUUACAGGAAUUCAAUUCAAUUCAAUUGCCAUGUUCCAAAUACUAAUCCAUAGUUGCAUUAUUGACAAUGUAGUAAGAAUAUCUAUAUCUUGAUAUUCGUACUAUUACAAUUACUGCAUAUAGUCAUGCAUGACGCAAGGAUUUCUUAAGGUGAAAUCUUUUAUUAUCCAAACUAUGCAGCUGGUUUACAGUUAGACUUCCAUUAGGUCAGACCAGGAACUGCCAAUACAGCACAGUUAAACAAGCAAACCAAAAACCCCACACAAACACAC